CGAGAGACAGCUCUAGAUUCGAGGGUUUCCAUUAUAGCCGAACGCGAGGGAAAGAUCAUUUCUACUGAUAGUCAUAAGAUACUUUUAUCAAGUAGUGGUCAGAGCUGGCAUAUGCCAAACAUGAAUACCACCUGA
rnacentral:rRNA from 1 species